rnacentral:misc_RNA from 1 species
UUGGUAGGCGUGUUUCUUGCUGAAACCGGCUUGUGCCAAACGGCUCUUCCUUCAACUACGGAUAUAUAACACGUAACUACGUAACGAUUCUAUGACGAGUGGGAGCAGCCGACGAAUCUUGGAUUUCAAGAUACUGGCGAAGAAGCGUUGCCGCAGUCGGGGGACAGGCUGCUGUUUCUAAGUCAGCAUCUCCUCUUCUCUCAAACGCGGCCCUCAAUCUUUCUGCCAGUCUUGGGCUUCCACCGGACAGACGGAACACCGCGGCGCUUUGGAAUCCAUGAGCUUCGAUAUAAUUACACAAUCGGUGUACCACAAAAGGCACACCGGUGUCGAGGUAUGGCUCGAUCGAAUCUAGUCGAGUACCAAAGACCCUCGUAGAUCCUGCGUUACGUCUUAAUAACGAUACUGUCAGAACG